ensembl:lncRNA
GGCAAUUUGAGUUAUGCUUGGAAAAGAAAGUUCUGGCCACAGUAUAGAGCAUGGCCCGUUGAGCUGUUGGGGGGUUAUUGCUGCAACCAAGGCUUGAGUGAGGGAAGAGGCAGAUGUAGUGAUAAAGAGACUCCACGAACUGAAUCAGCGUACCUGGCGCCCCAUCUGCUAUAGAGGGUGAGAACAAAAGAGAAAUUAAAACAUCUUGCAGGCUGGGCACGGUAGCUCGUGUCUGUAAUCCCAGCACUUUGGGAGGCCAAGGUGGGUGUAUCAGUUGAGGUCAGGAGUUGGAGACCAGUCAGUCAGUUAGUAGAAACCCUGACUCUACCAAGAAAAUACAAAAAAUUAGCCGGGCAUGGUGGCACGCGCCUGUAGUCUCAGCUACCUGGAAGGCUGAGGCAGGUGGAUCACUUGAGCCGGGGAAGUGGAGGCUGCAGUAAGCCAAGAUUGUACCACUGCACUCCAGCCUGGGUGACAGAGCAAGACUCCAUCUCAAAAUAAAAUAAAGUAAAACAAAACAUCUUACCACUAGCUGAGAGAGAGGUCUCCAAAGAGCAGGCUCAGGCAAACGAGUUUUCAGAGCUGAUGUGAUAGCUUCUCUGGAGUCGACAGGGUGAAUCCUUCCCAAGUCCAGCCAUGCCCAGAUGCCUGGAGGGAAAACUGACCCCCAGCCAGUAGACAUCGGUUAAGAACACGGAAUCUUCUGACCAAACACGCUUUCAGCAGCUGCCUGCUCUGGACUUUGAAAGAGCCUUUUCAUUCAUGCCAUUAGGAAAUCCAUGGACUUCUAGUCUGUGUUUUAAGCCAGCCAUGUUUCCUUGUAUAUUUCCCUACCCGCUGCCCCAGAUACCCAGCAUACUGCUAUGGCCACCGUGUCCUCAAAGCCUUCUGUCUGUAUCAGGAAGGUAGUCUGAGACUGCCAGGAAGCAACAAGGAGAGAGAAACACUAACUAGUCUUCCUUUAUAACCCAUUCAUACUCUCUGGCUGUCCCCAAACUUCAUAAAGUCUCCUGCAUCCAAAUGUCCUCUUUGGCUCAAAAAGUAGGCCAGGCAUGGUGGUUCAUGCCUGUAAUAGCACUUUGGGAGACUGAGGUGGGAGGAUUACUUGAGGCCAGGAGUUUGAGACCGGCUUGGGCAAUGUAGUAAAAUCUCAUCUCUACAAAAAAAUAAAAUAAAAUUAGUUGGGCAUGGUGGCAUGCUUCUGUGGUCCCAGCUACUUGGGAGGCUGAGGCAGGAGGAUCACUGGAUCCCAGGAGUUCAAGGCGACAGUGAGCUAGGAUGGCAUCACUGCACUCCAGCCUGGGUGACAGAGCGAGACCAUGUCUCUAAAAAAAAAUCAAACUGAAAGACCAGGUGCUGAGAUUGAAGAAACACAGGUCUGAGGGUCUGAGGGAAGGGGCCUGCCUCCCAGGGAGUCAACACAGAUGUUCCCCAUGAACAGGGAUUUCACCUUUGGAAGCCAACCUGGCCUGGCCUCUGCCCUUUAUCUCACACCCCCUAUCCUUGGCCCACUGCCAGUCCCUGCCUUGUGGCAAAAGAACCCCAAAAGAAAAGCUGCCUUCUCCAAAUGUGAGGACCCAGGUACACUUUCACCCAUGGAAAGCAGUGUCUGUUGCGAGUCUGUUUCCUAUUAAUACUUAUCAAAGCCACGUGCGAGGGAGGUGGUCAGGUGUCAAUAUGCCUUAGUAUGUAUCUAUGAGUUUGUUUUGUUCUGGAAUAUCUGAACAGUUCUGAUCAAGCAGGGUUAUGCCUGUCUGGUCCAAAACACAGUCCGUUAUUAACGAGAUGGCCCUGGUAGGCAGGAACACAUCUGCCUCCAUGCACUGCUUCCUAUAGUCUUUUAGAAAAUGACUCCAGGACAUCCAAGUGCCCAGAUUUGACUCUUAAGUUCUAGGAGGCUCUUGCAUGGGGUCUGUCAACCUCGGCACUAUUGGCAUUUGGGGCUGGAUAAUUCUUUAUUGUGGGGGCCGUCUUGGGCACCGUAGGAAGCCGAGCAACAUUCCUGGCCUCCAUCCACUAGACACCUGUAGCAGUGUCCUGCCAAUGGUAACAAUCAAAUAUGUCAUCAGACAUUGCCCAACGUCCCCGGGGACAACACCCCUCUCUGGGACUUCAGGGUCAAGAGAAUCUCUGCUGGCUACCCCAGGACUUCUCAGUAUAGAUUUCCUGGAGCAAGCAGCAGAAGCUUUGCCUGGCCCAGUGGUUGUUGCCAUUAUCUCCUGCCAAAGUGGGAUUUGAGGAGAUCUGGGGGAGGGGGCACGGGGAGGGCAGUAUGCUUUCAAAAACCCCUCCCAGGCCGGGUGUGGUGGCUCAUGCCUGUCAUCCCAGCACUUUGGGAGGCCGAGGCUGGCAGAUCACUUGAGGCCGGGAGUUAGAGACCAACCUGGCUAACAUGGCAAAACCCCAUCUCUACUAAAAAUACAAAAAUCAGCCUGGCAUGGUGGCGGGCAUCUGUAAUCCCAGCUACUCGGGAGGCUGAGGCAGGAGAAUUACUUGAACCCGGGAGGCGGAGGCUGCAGUGAGCCAAGAUGGUGCCACCUCACUCCAGCUUGCUGACAGAAUGAGACCCUAUGGAAAAAAAAAAUAAAUAAGCCCUCUUAUGCCAGGACAGAGGAUGACAGCCCAUUUCAAUAAUACACUAUGUCCUUGGUGUUGGUUCUGAUUAAGACCCACUGAGAUCCAGUGCUCUCGACUCGGUCUCAGUUCCCUCCCACGUCCUGUGCUCUGCCGCCACUGUUUUCAUUGUUGUGUUCUCAUUGUGAUUGUUAAGACUCACACUCCUGGCUCAGCAGUGGUUUUCCAGAAGGCCCAAAGAGUGGUGCCGGGCACCCCACAUCACAGUGUCCUUUCCGGGCUUGGGAAACUGGGGAGAUGGGCAGACCUGGUCACAUCUCAACACACACAAACACACACACACACACACGCUGUCAGAAACUCGGCCUUCCCCCCUACCUCUGAGCUCUCGAUGCUGCUAAUCUCUGCCAAGUGUCCCUGUGCUCCAGCACCUUCCUUGAAGGCCUGACGCCCACCCCACGCUCUUUGCGAGGUUGUCCAGGCUGUGUUCGUCGCAUGCUUUUCUUCUGUAUAGUUCUCAUCUUCCAAUUUUAUGGGAUUCAACAAAAGCCUAUUAUGCUUGUUUGCAUUAUGGUUACAAUAUUAAAAAGUGGAUUC